rnacentral:rRNA from 1 species
GUAACACGUAAAGAACCUGCCCUCAGGUCUGGGAUAACCACGAGAAAUCGGGGCUAAUACCGGAUGGGUCAUCGGACCGCACGGUCCGAGGAUGAAAGGCGCUUCGGCGUCGCCUGGGGAUGGCUUUGCGGUGCAUUAGCUAGUUGGUGGGAUAAUGGCCCACCAAGGCGACGAUGCAUAGCCGACCUGAGAGGGUGAUCGGCCACACUGGGACUGAGACACGGCCCAGACUCCUACGGGAGGCAGCAGUAGGGAAUCUUCCACAAUGGACGAAAGUCUGAUGGAGCAACGCCGCGUGAACGAUGAAGGCCUUCGGGUCGUAAAGUUCUGUUGUAAGGGAAGAACAAGUGCCGCAGGCAAUGGCGGCACCUUGACGGUACCUUGCGAGAAAGCCACGGCUAACUACGUGCCAGCAGCCGCGGUAAUACGUAGGUGGCAAGCGUUGUCCGGAAUUAUUGGGCGUAAAGCGCGCGCAGGCGGCCUCUUAAGUCUGAUGUGAAAGCCCCCGGCUCAACCGGGGAGGGCCAUUGGAAACUGGGAGGCUUGAGUAUAGGAGAGAAGAGUGGAAUUCCACGUGUAGCGGUGAAAUGCGUAGAGAUGUGGAGGAACGCCAGUGGCGAAGGCGACUCUUUGGCCUAUAACUGACGCUGAGGCG